AGGAAGGUGAGCUAAUUCCUCAAGCCCUGUGUUAAAGCUACAUCAUGGAAUAGAAUUGGAAGGGAAACAAGUCAGAGCAGAGGAGCUCAAAGUGGGAAUCCGCAGCUUUCUAGGAUCUCCUUCAAGGACUGUGGAGUGAACCUGCCUUUAAUAACUUUGACCAAAGCAAUAUUUUGUCUUUCCCCUUCUGCCACGGAAUGAUGGAGUGCGGCCAGCCCCACGCCCUCCUGCUGUGCAGACCCGGGGUACCCGCAGCUCCUUGGGGGGUUCAGCAUCCCUCCUGUCCCCGCCAUGGGUAUCACCUGCUGAGAAUGAGACUCUAAUUUACGGCAGUCCCAUUGGCAGGGAAAUCAGACAAUCAGCAGCCUCGGACCAGAGGAAGGACUUUGGAUCUCUGCAGCAACAUCCAUCCCUCAGGCAUC